rnacentral:rRNA from 1 species
AGAGUUUGAUCAUGGCUCAGAUUGAACGCUGGCGGCAGGCCUAACACAUGCAAGUCGAGCGGUAACACAGAGAGCUUGCUCUCGGGUGACGAGCGGCGGACGGGUGAGUAAUGUCUGGGAAACUGCCUGAUGGAGGGGGAUAACUACUGGAAACGGUAGCUAAUACCGCAUAACGUCGCAAGACCAAAGUGGGGGACCUUCGGGCCUCAUGCCAUCAGAUGUGCCCAGAUGGGAUUAGCUAGUAGGUGGGGUAACGGCUCACCUAGGCGACGAUCCCUAGCUGGUCUGAGAGGAUGACCAGCCACACUGGAACUGAGACACGGUCCAGACUCCUACGGGAGGCAGCAGUGGGGAAUAUUGCACAAUGGGCGCAAGCCUGAUGCAGCCAUGCCGCGUGUGUGAAGAAGGCCUUCGGGUUGUAAAGCACUUUCAGCGGGGAGGAAGGCGGUGAGGUUAAUAACCUCACCGAUUGACGUUACCCGCAGAAGAAGCACCGGCUAACUCCGUGCCAGCAGCCGCGGUAAUACGGAGGGUGCAAGCGUUAAUCGGAAUUACUGGGCGUAAAGCGCACGCAGGCGGUCUGUCAAGUCGGAUGUGAAAUCCCCGGGCUCAACCUGGGAACUGCAUUCGAAACUGGCAGGCUAGAGUCUUGUAGAGGGGGGUAGAAUUCCAGGUGUAGCGGUGAAAUGCGUAGAGAUCUGGAGGAAUACCGGUGGCGAAGGCGGCCCCCUGGACAAAGACUGACGCUCAGGUGCGAAAGCGUGGGGAGCAAACAGGAUUAGAUACCCUGGUAGUCCACGCCGUAAACGAUGUCGAUUUGGAGGUUGUGCCCUUGAGGCGUGGCUUCCGGAGCUAACGCGUUAAAUCGACCGCCUGGGGAGUACGGCCGCAAGGUUAAAACUCAAAUGAAUUGACGGGGGCCCGCACAAGCGGUGGAGCAUGUGGUUUAAUUCGAUGCAACGCGAAGAACCUUACCUGGUCUUGACAUCCACAGAACUUNCGAUUGACGUUACCCGCAGAAGAAGCACCGGCUAACUCCGUGCCAGCAGCCGCGGUAAUACGGAGGGUGCAAGCGUUAAUCGGAAUUACUGGGCGUAAAGCGCACGCAGGCGGUCUGUCAAGUCGGAUGUGAAAUCCCCGGGCUCAACCUGGGAACUGCAUUCGAAACUGGCAGGCUAGAGUCUUGUAGAGGGGGGUAGAAUUCCAGGUGUAGCGGUGAAAUGCGUAGAGAUCUGGAGGAAUACCGGUGGCGAAGGCGGCCCCCUGGACAAAGACUGACGCUCAGGUGCGAAAGCGUGGGGAGCAAACAGGAUUAGAUACCCUGGUAGUCCACGCCGUAAACGAUGUCGAUUUGGAGGUUGUGCCCUUGAGGCGUGGCUUCCGGAGCUAACGCGUUAAAUCGACCGCCUGGGGAGUACGGCCGCAAGGUUAAAACUCAAAUGAAUUGACGGGGGCCCGCACAAGCGGUGGAGCAUGUGGUUUAAUUCGAUGCAACGCGAAGAACCUUACCUGGUCUUGACAUCCACAGAACUUNUUGGUGCCUUCGGGAACUGUGAGACAGGUGCUGCAUGGCUGUCGUCAGCUCGUGUUGUGAAAUGUUGGGUUAAGUCCCGCAACGAGCGCAACCCUUAUCCUUUGUUGCCAGCGGUUAGGCCGGGAACUCAAAGGAGACUGCCAGUGAUAAACUGGAGGAAGGUGGGGAUGACGUCAAGUCAUCAUGGCCCUUACGACCAGGGCUACACACGUGCUACAAUGGCAUAUACAAAGAGAAGCGACCUCGCGAGAGCAAGCGGACCUCAUAAAGUAUGUCGUAGUCCGGAUUGGAGUCUGCAACUCGACUCCAUGAAGUCGGAAUCGCUAGUAAUCGUAGAUCAGAAUGCUACGGUGAAUACGUUCCCGGGCCUUGUACACACCGCCCGUCACACCAUGGGAGUGGGUUGCAAAAGAAGUAGGUAGCUUAACCUUCGGGAGGGCGCUUACCACUUUGUGAUUCAUGACUGGGGUGAAGUCGUAACAAGGUAACCGUAGGGGAACCUGCGGUUGGAUCACCU